CUCCCUCCGUCCCUCCAUAGACGAUCUGUGCGGCUCUGUAGUAUUUGCUCUGGAGAAAAGCUCCUCUCCGUUGGCUGCUAUGACCGAUCUACCGGACCGCACUUUCUGUAUUCAGCAUUGACCGCUGCCUCGGAAAAAAAGAAAACACUUCUUGCGGCGUUUUUUGGCAACCGUACAUUCAACAUACCGUCGUUUAUGGUAGCAUUCCCGCGACUUUUUAAUCGUAGCUGCUGGCCUCCGGGGCUAGCUGGCUAGCCGAGCGGUGACAGAGUGGAGCCAGCUGGUCGGACACACACAGGGACGUUAGCAAACAAGCUAAUUAGCAGGAGAGACUGAGCCUGGAUUACUGUGUUUAAUCAAAGACAGCGCAGCUUUGCGGCUUUACUCACUGCGGCAAAAAUGAAGAUAACUGUGGAUUUCGAGGAGUGUUUGAAGGACUCCCCACGGUUCAGAGCCACCAUAGAGGAAGUGGAGGGGGAUGUGUGUGAGUUGGAAUCCAAACUCGACAAAUUGGUGAAAUUGUGUAUUGGGAUGAUUGAUGCUGGAAAAGCCUACAAUGCAGCGAACAAGCAGUUUGUUAAUGGGAUCCGGGAGCUUGCCCAGCAGUCCACCAAAGAUGAGGUCAUCGAGUCCAGCCUCACAAAGUUUGCCGAGAGUUUGCAGGAGAUGAUCAACUAUCACACGAUAUUAUUCGAUCAGGCCCAGAGAUCUAUCAAGACCCAACUUCAAACAUUUGUCAAAGAUGAUCUGCGCAAGUUCAAGGAGGCCAAGAAGCAAUUUGACAAAGUGAGCGAGGAAAAGGAGGCGGCACUGAUAAAAAAUGCUCAGGCUCCACGCAACAAACAACACGAGGUGGAGGAAGCCACCAACAUCCUCACUGCCACACGCAAGUGCUUCCGACACAUCGUUCUCGACUACGUCUUACAGAUAAAUGUCCUACAGUCUAAGAGAAGAUCAGAAAUCCUGAAAUCAAUGCUGUCCUUCAUGUACGCCCACCUGACUUUCUUCCACCAAGGCUAUGACCUCUUCAGUGAACUGCAACCUCUUAUGAAACAGCUGGGAGGACAGUUGGACCAGCUGGUGGUGGAUGCUGCCAAAGAGAAGAGGGACAUGGAGCAGAAACACUCCACCAUCCAACAAAAGGCUGCUCUGCAGGAGGUGACAGAGAUCGACUAUUUACCAGACUGCCGCAACUUUUGCGCUUGGAGGUCGACCUCCGAUUUCUCGAAUGACGACACCAAGCUGGAGUACAAUGUGGAUGCAGACAAUGGCAUCGCAAUGGAGGGCUAUCUGUUUAAAAGGGCCAGCAAUGCCUUCAAGACAUGGAAUAGGCGUUGGUUCUCCAUCCAAAACAAUCAGCUAGUUUACCAGAAGAAAUUUAAGGACAACCCUACAGUGGUGGUAGAAGAUCUGAGACUAUGUACAGUCAAACACUGUGAGGACAUUGAGCGUCGCUUCUGUUUUGAAGUGGUGUCACCCACUAAGAGCUGUAUGAUGCAGGCAGACUCGGAGAAGCUGCGACAGGCUUGGAUCAAAGCUGUUCAGAACAGCAUCGCCACCGCCUUCCGCGACAAGGGAGAUGACGGCGAGAAGCUGGAUAGGAAGUCGUCCACAUCAACAGGGAGUCUGGACUCUGGUGGGGAGCCAAAGGAGAGAUCACUGAAAGGAGAGAGUGCCCUGCAGAAGGUCCUGGCCAUCCCAGGAAAUGCCUGCUGCUGCGACUGUGGACAGCCUGAUCCCCGGUGGGCCAGCAUCAAUCUGGGCAUCACCCUCUGUAUACAGUGCUCUGGCAUCCACAGGAGUCUGGGAGUUCAUUUCUCUAAGGUUCGGUCUUUGACUUUGGAUACAUGGGAGCCAGAACUGCUUAAGUUGAUGUGUGAACUGGGGAACAAAGUGAUCAACCAGAUCUAUGAAGCUCGGCGAGAGGAGCUCGGAGCCAGAAAACCACAGCCAGGAGACCCAAGACAUGAGGUUGAGGCCUACAUCAAAGCCAAGUAUGUGGAUCGCAGAUUCAUCCGCCGGCCGUCAGAUGAGGAGCUGCGUAACAAAGUGAUUUCUCUGAGCAAGCAGGAGAAGAGGCUGAGCAGCAGCUCUGAACAUCUGCCACCAAGACCGCCCCCACCCACCCCGAAACUUCGGCCUGGUUCUAACGUCUCUGGACAGUCAGCUGCUGCCGGCGGCGCGGAGGCUCGCCGCGACUCUCUCUUCUGUCCUGACGAGCUUGACUCGCUCUUCUCCUACUUUGACACCUCCUCCAAGCUCAGGAGCAUGAAGAGUGCAGACAGCGGUAUUCAGAACAGCGCUGAUGGGAGCAGGGAGAUGCUGGCCAACACCCCCUCCAACAACAGCCUGGCAGAUGCAGACGCUGCUGAGUCUCCGCCUAUGCCCAUGCCUGCCACGCUGCCUCCUCCGUCACCCUGUAAGGAAAUGGUCUUCUACGAGCCCAAGGAGUACAGUCCAGGUCUGCAGCUCUACUGGGCGUCAUGCGCCCGCAGCCUGCCGGACAUGGCGGAGGCUUUAGCCCACGGAGCUGAAGUCAACUGGGUCAACACAGAUGAAGAGAAGAGGACGCCGCUCAUCAUGGCGGUGCAGGGGGGUUCACUGGUCACCUGUGAGUUUCUGCUCCAAAACGCAGCUAAUGUGAACCAGCAGGACACUCAGGGGCGAGGACCCCUCCACCAUGCCACCAUGCUGGGACACACAGGGCAAGUGUGUCUCUUCUUGAAAAGAGGAGCAAAUCAAAAUGCUGCAGACAUUGAUGAGAAAACACCCCUGACUAUAGCGGUGGAAGCAGCCAAUGCAGAUAUUGUCACACUGUUGCGACUGGCCAAGAUGAAUGAGGAGAUGCGGGAGGCGGAGGGGCCCUACAGCCAGUCAGGUCAAUAUAACACCAAUAGCCCCACCGAGAUGCAGUACAGGAAGUGCAUGCAGGAGUUUAUUAGCCUACAGCUGGACGAAUCGGAAUAACUGUCCACUCGUCUAAACACGGGGGCAACUAAAACCAGGCUUCAGACAUAUAGAGCUCUGGUUUCAGAGUUGGAGUCAGUUAACUUAAAAUCAGCAGAUGAAACACAGUGUGACAUCAUACCUAAAGCAGACAAUUCACUCUCAGUGGUUUCAUUACAAAUUGGGGCAACUAUUUUCAAGAGACAUCCGGGUUCGAGGAACUUGAUCCACUGACUGAUUAGAGUGAACUGAUCCCAGCUCUGCCAGAUGUGCUCUUCUGUCCUGCUGUAAUAACUUCCAUUUUAAGCUUCCAGCUGCUGCCAGGUGCUGCACCUUGUUGUGACACAGAGCCAGGUGCUGGUCUGUGUUAAUGUGACAAAGUUAAAGCCAUUGACUCUGGACAAUACUGAAGAGUUUUGUUCCAAAAUGGAACCUCCUCCUUUUCCAUUCAGUGACUGCUACUCCAGUCAAAUUACUGAGAGCACAAAAUGGAAAGAAAUGGUGUCACUUUCUACUUGAUAGUCUGUAUCUCCUUUAAGUUUAAAUUGUUCUGCUUGAAGAUUUCCUCUGUUUUAGAGAUGUUCAGUGAUUUCUUGCAGAUGAGAACAGGUUUUUUUUCUUUUUCUAAACGGAUUCUGUGUGUCUGCUGACAGUCACAGUAUCUUUGCAAAAAAAAAAAAACUAUCUACCCUGUAACUGCCACCUGUAUACAGUGACGCUCAGACCUCAGCGGGGCGGCAGUUUUCACUACAGUAUCUGGCAAUAAUAGUGACUUUUGAAUGAUAUUUUAUUCGUCUGACCAGUCUGGAGAGGCGUGUUGUGUGUCUAAGUUUCAUUUUCAAUUGACCUGUCAGAAGAAAUGUAUGCACAUUCCUAUUAAUGUUUAUGCAACUUCUGUACCUUUUCUCAUUUGAAGUCUUAACCAGUUUGAAGGCCUGUUUACUUAUUUGUUGUCCAAACAUGAUGCAUCUUGCUGUUGUUACUUGCCUGGUCAAAAAGAAAGUCUAUUUUAGAACAGUUUUCUUUUGUAAAAACAUAACUCUAGUAACCGUAUAAUAAUGGUUCUUACUGUACAUGUUGUAAAUGAUGUGCAAACAUACAUUUCUCAUUAGUCUGCAUUUGACAGAAUAAGCAGAGUUUAGAGUGACUCUGGCUGCACGGGGGGGAGUGCCAAGAGGACUCUGUGUUCACAUCCUUGCUUUUCUUUGUUUGAUUGUGCGGUAUUUACUUCCUCUUAUGACAAUGUUGUGUCUUGGUUAUUAGUCGGUUAACUGUGCUUGUUCAUUGCCCGUAAUCAAGGGAAAUCCAGAAUUGUAAGGAUGAAGGGCCUUUUUGUGCCGCUGCAUUGAUCUUCUCGAAUGUUGGUGGAUUUUUACUCGAAUAUAGACAAACCAUUUGAGGAUGGUACAUCGUCAAGCAACCAGUGCAAUAGUCUAGAAAAAUAUCCACAUAUAACAUGUAUAACUUUGUAUCACCUGCUAGUCCUAGCUUAUAUUUAUCUUAAUCAUGUGGGAGCUUUACAAGAAUAAAAAAAACUAAAUCUAGACAUUCACAAAGAAUGUGGAAAGAGUUGAGCUUGAUGCUCAUUUUAGUUUUGUCGAUAGUAAAUGAAUGAUUGGAAUGUACCCCAGUUUCAUCCCACAUCUUCGCUUCAUGCAGCCCAAGAUCCUCGGAGGGCACCAAAGCACUUUGAUUAAAUGUUGAUUGAAAGAGCAGCUGCUGCUGGCACAACAGUGUGUGAUGUUUUGAGCGGCAGGCUUGCUUGGAGAUGUGCUCGGGAGUUAAAAACAGGGUUUACUGAUCGUGUUGAUUGUUUUUACUGGCAAGUAAAGUCUUCUGUCCGUUAGAGUAGAUGCUGAGAGUUCUCCUUAGGUUGUGGAUCAAAGGGAUUUGUGCAUUUCUGUGUGCUGACCACAUGAGGGAGGGCUGAGCUCACAAAUGUCAGUCAUUUGUCCUUAAGGAAUGGAGGAUUUUACACCGAGGGCUAAAUGUGUAGCUGGACUGUUAUUAGCCUGUUAGCUGCUUUUUUUAGAGAUGGAAUGUCUUUUGUGGUUGUUUAUGCUUUUAAAUAUUCAGUUAGGAAUAUUGUGGACCUGAAUGAGAACAAAUGCCUAGAAGUUCUUUUUUGUGUGUUUGUUUUUUUUUAGCUUGUGAAAUGUUUAUUGAUAGACAUUGAUUUAGAAACAACUUGUGGCUGUUGCUUUAAAGGUCAACAACAGAUAAUCUAGACACAGAGAGGAACAGAAGGAGGUUUGCGUUUAGUAGAAGGAGCAAAAUAGAGUCUGAAGUAUGUGCUUCCAGUCACUGAAUGAUCCUCGUUGUGCUCGGCGAGAGGAUUCGCCUUGUUGCAGACGUCGGCUCCGUCCUCUUCGAUACCUUAGAACCUCUUCAUCAGCACCUCCAAUCAGCUGAUGAAUGAUGGAACUGAUGAGGGAUGUUCAGGGGUAACGAAUGUGAGGGAGACCUAACCUCAUCAAACCUCUCUCGCCUUUUUUUAUUUAAAUUGCAGUUCUCUUGACUCAAGAGUUUCUACCUGAUUAAGUGUGUGGAAGUGCAGAGCAGCGGUUCUCAGUCUUGGGGUUUCUCUGUGUUUAUUGUGGGCAUUUCAGCAUUAAUGUUCUGAUAUCGGGAGGGAAAUAUACAUAUAUAUUUUUUUAACAUAAUGAUUAUUCUUUUAAGGUUUUCCUAAAUAUCCAUUUCUUUAAUCGGUAUUUUAUGUAGUCUUCUACACUGAUUUUAAAAAGCAGAAAUUGUCACUUGAAACUCCACCAGACUGAGAACCGCUGGUCUGGUAGAAGAUGAGGCUCUUUGUUUUCUAUAACUUAUUAUUGCUCUCAUUCACUUCUCUCCAUGUAAAUUGGCUCUCUCUGUUUUGUAUUUUUCUUUUCUUUCUCACUCUCCUCCCCAGAGUUUGUGCCUUUCUUCUGUUCUCUUUUUUCUUUGGGGUGCUGAGGCCAACACAACUGUAUUUUUGUACAUAAACUCCUGCACUUUAAACACAAUACAGUUGUUGACAAAACUCAUGUCUGUGGGCUUGUCUUUUCUUUUGGACUGAUUCUCAUGCCGCUAACGGUAGCCUCGCUGGCUGUUUUCUUAAAACAUUUGCCUUUUGCUUCUUCUGUUCUUGCCAUCUUUUCUCCCUCUGCGUUGUUCUGUUUCAUAUUUCGAGCCACGCCGACACUCUUGACAGGAGAUGAAACCUACCAGGACAUUUUCCAGGACUUCACCCACAUGGCGUCCAACGAUCCAGACAAGCUGAACCGCUACCAGCAGUACGACCCUCAGAGACCCUGACACUGAAGGAGCACCGUCCACUAGCGGUCAGAUAGACUCACAGGAACUAUGAGAUGUGUGGAAUGACGUCCGCUUUCCCUCCAGCAUCAUUCAGAAACAGUUUUAAAGCAGCAGCCUGUGCUUAGCUGCUGCAAACACACAUCAUAUCUAAUGCGGCCGAAGCUCCCUUUGAUCAAUUUCAUUUUGUUUGCAACUUUUGUUUGAAACUUCAAGCAUUUCAGUCAAGUGAAGGGGGAACGUCUGUGAGUGGAUCUCACUUUUAAUCUUUUAAACUGUGCUUCUCAGUAGGGCCUAUUACAUUAAGUAAAUGGUACAGUGUUAAAGCCUUUGAACGGAUUUGCAAAGGCACUAGUGCUAAUUGAACUUGGUCUGAAUGUAGAGCGGCCAUCAGGGCUGUCAGUUAUUUUGGCCGAGUUCAAUUUUUCAUGUCACACUUCCUGAUAGGAGAAAGUCUCUUUUUUCAGACUGUUAAAUACGUCUUUUCAUUUUUAAAGCGUUUUCUCUUUGCAAUAGGAUCUUUAUAAGCAUCAUUUUUGUAUCACAGUUUUGCUUUAGAGAACUCUCCGCAGCCUUAUACACGGCAGCAAGCUUUUACUUAUUUGCACAAAUUGCUUUGUCUUAAAUCGCCACUGAGGUUUACCAGUUUUGAUGGUAACUUUGACACGUUAAACAGUGUACAGUGCUUAUGGAAGCAAACCUGUUAUUGAUUUAUGUAAUGUUAAAUAGAUAGUAGUUGAUCUGAAAGGACUUUUACAUGCUUGUGUUUUUUAAAAUAUGUUUUUCUGAUUGAAUUUUCCAUGUUAUUACCUGCAGCACAUGUUAAUGAGGCACUCAGCCCUUCAGCACCGAAGUUCUGUGGGAUUAAAAUGGCGCGAGUUGUUUUGAAAUGGUUGUUUAUUUGUAGAUUCACUCUGAAGCUGGUAUGAGAUCAACAGUAUCGACCUGCAGAAUACCUGAGGGUUUAGACGUGCAGGUAAUACUUUGUUUUAUAGAUCCAGCAUUUUCCAAAUAUUUCCUAAGUGGAACUGUGCGAGAUUUUUCUUGAACACCUCCGUCAAAACCUAACAAAAGUUCAUUCAGUCCUUUGUUUUCCCCCAUUGUCACUGUUGUGACAAGUGACAAUAACUACAGCUUCUUACUACCAGAUCCAGAAUUCAGGAGGUAGCAAAUACGAACUGAGCAGCUUCUUCAUCAGAAGUACAACAGAAAAGCUCCUGGCACGUGUUUACAGCACAGCCAAACAGAGCUGGUUUGUUGUUGAAUAUAGAUCAGCAUAAAUAAAGCCUUCUAUCCGUCACGCCAUUAGAAACCACAGGUUGGUUUCAUUCUGUGCACGGCGUCAUUAGUUUUACCCACAACAGCAGCACAGUUUGACACCUCGCUGAAGACUUGGAGGUUUGAAAAGGGUCGCCUGCAACUCUUCAUCUUCAUUCUUCAUCGCUGCAGCUGCUCCUUAUUGCUGAACGAAUCCCGAUGAGGAAGGUAAAACUGAUCCGCUCGCUAAAAACCCUGACAAAGACUGUUGUUUUGUAGAGAAAUACAUAAACAGCAGCACUGCGUCUUGUCCUGAGAAUCACUUGUGUGUAGUUCAGCCAACUGAAACAGACUGUCACCAACAAUAGAAAGGACUAUUUACAGUAGACAGAUGAGUAUUGAAUGUAAAUACUUUGAACUGAUAGUGCUGGCACAAGGCUGACCUUAAAUUAGGUUCAAUUAAAAUUUUAUAAUAUUACAUCCAAUUCUUACCUCGCUGACCUACUGCUGUUAUUCAGGCAGAUAAGUGGAAUUGAUUUGAUGUUCAGCAGUUGAACCCUGUAUGUAAAACACUUCACCUGUCAAUGUAACAUAUUAGGAAGUCAAUAUGAAAUGGUUAGGGAAAUUAGAAACCUGUAAAAUGAAGUGUUACAGAAAUACUGCACAUAAACCAAACUGCCCGUUGAGAUUCUGUAAACGUGUGAGUUGUGUUGAGACAUUUUCAGUUCCAGAGCGACUCUGUACAACCUUCUUUAGACGCCUGCAGGUGAAAUCUUCCAGCCUGAAAGUGAAUUCUGCAGAUUUAUUCCCAGGAGUUUUGUGAUUGUCUCUGUGUUGGUCUUUGACACUUCAACAUACAGAUAGAUAUGAUGUUAACCGUUAUUUGGCCGAUGCGACAUGGGAUACAAUUCUUGUACAUUUUGUACAGAUGCUUUUGAAAUCUCCAGAGGACUGAAGUAUAAAGUUAGUGGUACUUGAAUCAUUAAAUAAGCUUUUGUAUAUGCUGUUCUUUGUAUCCUUCAAUGAAUUUAGCCCGUUUUAUAUCACCUGUCUGUACACCAGUAUACAUGUGUUGUAUAGUACACCUGUAACAUGCAAAGACUUCAAUACAUACCGUCUAAGAUUCA